rnacentral:rRNA from 1 species
UACGGAGGUUGCAAGCGUUAUCCGGAUUCACUGGGUUUAAAGGGUGCGUAGGUGGGCAGGUAAGUCAGUGGUGAAAUCUCCGGGCUUAACUCGGAAACUGCCAUUGAUACUAUCUGUCUUGAAUACCGUGGAGGUUAGCGGAAUAUGUCAUGUAGCGGUGAAAUGCUUAGAUAUGACAUAGAACACCAAUUGCGAAGGCAGCUGGCUACACGAAUAUUGACACUGAUGCACGAAAGCGUGGGGAUCAAACAGG